AAGCACUGUUCGUGACCUGCCAGUCUUCUGUGGCACGUGGGUUCCAUUCCAGUGCAACAGUAAGUCCAGGGGCCCGUGUCUGACUGACUCAUUUGGGCUCUCAGACUGAGGCCUUUUGGAGACAGCU